rnacentral:rRNA from 1 species
AACGAACGCUGGCGGCAUGCCUAACACAUGCAAGUCGAACGAACCCUUCGGGGUUAGUGGCGCACGGGUGCGUAACGCGUGGGAACCUGCCUUUAGGUUCGGAAUAACUCAGAGAAAUUUGAGCUAAUACCGGAUAAUGUCUUCGGGCCAAAGAUUUAUCGCCUUUAGAUGGGCCCGCGUUAGAUUAGAUAGUUGGUGGGGUAAUGGCCUACCAAGUCGACGAUCUAUAGCUGGUCUGAGAGGAUGAUCAGCCACACUGGGACUGAGACACGGCCCAGACUCCUACGGGAGGCAGCAAUGGGGAAUAUUGGACAAUGGGCGAAAGCCUGAUCCAGCAAUGCCGCGUGAGUGAUGAAGGCCUUAGGGUUGUAAAGCUCUUUUACCAGGGAUGAUAAUGACAGUACCUGGAGAAUAAGCUCCGGCUAACUCCGUGCCAGCAGCCGCGGUAAUACGGAGGGAGCUAGCGUUGUUCGGAAUUACUGGGCGUAAAGCGCGCGUA